UGGGACUACCGGGGUUUCUAAUCCUGUUUGCUACCCACGCUUUCGUACAUGAGCGUCAGUGUUAUCCCAGGGGGCUGCCUUCGCCAUUGGUGUUCCUCCACAUAUCUACGCAUUUCACUGCUACACGUGGAAUUCCACCCCCCUCUGACACACUCUAGACUGCCAGUUCAAAAUGCCAUUCCCAGGUUAAGCCCGGGGCUUUCACAUCUUGCUUAACAAUCCGCCUGCGCACGCUUUACGCCCAGUAAUUCCGAUUAACGCUCGCACCCUACGUAUUACCGCGGCGGCUGGCACU
rnacentral:misc_RNA from 1 species